CUCUUAUUUAGGUUGUAGAAAAGGGUAUGGUUGUGUAGGAGAGUUCCUAUGCACCCUGAACGCAACACAGGUGUGGAGCUCGGUAACCCCAGAGAGAGAAAGGCAGCAAAGAAGCAGCCGAAUGACUGUGUGUUCAUAAACCUGUAAGUUUUUUGUCAUUCAUGCCAUUAUGUUUCUGUUAGAGAGGUAAUGUGCCAAUUUGUUUAGCUGUAUAGUGUAUUUACAGCUUUGCUUUAUUACCGUUGUAACUGUGGUUCGAACUGGCUUGGAUUAUUCUGUUUGUUUACAGAACCACACACACAUUUACAUAUAUACCUGCUUCAUGUACAUUCUGGCAAAGAUAUAUAAAGAGUAAAAAUGGAACUGGACCCUUCCUGAUCUGUUCCGCAUCCACAUAAAGCUAAUAGUUGUUCUGACCGGACACUCUGAGGCGAUUGCUGCCAGCUUAGAUCCUGCUGAAGUCUUCCCAACAAUCAGGACCAGAAACUAGAAACUAGAAAGCUGGAGAACCUCAUGACGCACUUUCAGCCAAUCAGAUUCACUUUAAUGUUCCAUCAUCACAAUCAACAGGAAGUCACAUGGUCACAAACAGGAAAACAUUGUUGAAAUACCACAGUUUCACAAUAAGAGCGUCUUCUCCAGCCAAUCAGGUGUUCAUAUCAGGUGAUGCUGUCACAUGAUUGGCUGGAUUGCCAGACUUUUAUUUUGUCAAAUUCCAGAAGAAA